rnacentral:rRNA from 1 species
AUGCCAGGGACACCUCGCGUCAGAGCGAGGCGAGGCGCUCUUCCCGCCGCUCCUCGUGAGGUGAGACCCCAAACUGCCAAAGUACACACGAGACACGCCGCGCCGCGCCGCGUCCCUCGCACUCCACCGCCGCGGCGGCGCCACCGCCCCGGGCUCGCCUCCCUCGCCGACCGACCGGCACCUUCUCAUCCUCACCGACUACCCGCCGGGCUCCUACCCGCGCCUACCCCGCUCGACGCGUUCCCGAACUCCUCUCGAGCCCACCACCGCCGCGGCGGCGGGAUCGGCGUCGGAUUCACGCACGCCGUCCAUGCCACCGAGCCGUGCGGUGCAGCCGCUCCCGCGUGUGAUCCUGCGCGGCCCGGUCGUGCACUGGAUGGAUCGCGGCGAAGCGUGGGCUGCCAUUGCCUGGCCUCGGGCGUGUGA